rnacentral:rRNA from 1 species
AUUGAGCGCUGGCGGCAUGCCUUACACAUGCAAGUCGAACGGCAACACGGGAGCAAUCCUGGUGGCGAGUGGCGAACGGGUGAGUAAUAUAUCGGAACGUGCCCAGUCGUGGGGGAUAACGCAGCGAAAGCUGUGAUAAUACCGAAAACGAUCUCUGGAUGAAAGAGGGGGACCGUAAGGCCUCGCUCCGAUGGAGCAGCCGAUAUCAGAUUAGCUAGUUGGUGGGGUAAAGGCCCACCAAGGCGACGAUCUGUAGCUGGUCUGAGAGGACGACCAGCCGCACUGGAACUGGGACACGGUCCAGACUCCUACGGGAGGCAGCAGUGGGGAAUUUUGGACAAUGGGCGCAAGCCUGAUCCAGCAAUGCCGCGUGCAGGAUGAAGGCCUUCGGGUUGUAAACUGCUUUUGUACGGAACGAAACGGCGAGCUCUAAUAAAGUUUGCUAAUGACGGUACCGUAAGAAUAAGCACCGGCUAACUACGUGCCAGCAGCCGCGGUAA